UGAAGGACGGCCAUGACUUGCGUCUGCUCCCUGGUGCUGAGACAAAGAACAUCUUCCCCAUCGUGCUCGUCCUGGGAGGAUAACUGGUUUUCCAUUUGUUUCAGUGUGCGUGCAUGUGUGCGUGCGUGUGUGCGUGCGUGUGUAAAUCAAUAAAAACUUGUAACUACUAAUCCAGUGGUUUCCAAACUUAUCUGCACUUUUGAAAUCAUCUGAGAAGCUCCCAAAAUACUAAUGUCUCUGUCCCACCAUCACUGAUUAUCAGUUGGGGUGUGGCCUGAGCUUGGGGUUUUAAAAAGAUACCCGGGUGAUUCUAAAGUGCACACAAAUUUGAAAACCACCGUAACAGUCCCUGUGUGUUGUAAAGAAUGGAAGCAGCGUGCUCUGCAGAAUGGAAAGCAUUCCCACACCUCUCCCAUGGGCAGGUGGCUCCAUAGCACUGGGUAGCUGGGCACUCAGACAGGGGAGUCCCAAGUUCCAUCCCCGUCAACACAUCUUCUGGGACAGAUCUUAAAGGAGGAGACAAUCUGUUGCUUACUUGUGGGCCACAGUGUGUUUUUCUAAGCAUCUAGAAGAACUUUAUAUUUGCUUUAAAGUUGAAAAUAGAACGAGAGUGCCAUUUUUUUCCCUCCUCGAUAGUCCAUGAAAAGAUCUCAGUGAGGUAGUUGAACCAUUGCCAGAAAGGGAUUGCUGAACUAAAGAAAAUGCCACAGAAUGCCAUUUUUUAUUUUAUAAAGAAAGAGACCAUUUGGUGCUCUGUACUUCCGUGGAUGUAUUUCAGCAAAAGAAUCUCUUCAGAAGCUGUUCUUGACAGAGGCCUCAAGGGAGCUGAAGUAUGGGCCCAUAUGACUUCUUUUUCGUCAACACAAAGGAAUUUAUAAGCACAAAUUUCAGAAAUGCACCCAGCUUCGUUGUCCACAAAGCUGUUUUUAUUCUAGUCGCACUCACAUCAGCUGACCUGUAGCCCAAUUGUAAGUUUGGAGUCUAGCGCUCACAGAACCUCAGACUUAUGUGUGGAAAGGCUUAUAUACGGUACGAAAAGUUACAAAGUUUGACAGAAAAUGAGUCUUCAGGGUUUUUUUAACCCAGUUUUAAGGAGAAGGGCCUUUUUGGGUGCUUUCCUGUUUAGUGUUGGUGGCCAUUCUGGUGAUAAGGGGAAGAAUCAUCCAUGUGGUUCUUCCUUUGUAUCUCAUCAGCUGUUGGUUAUCUCUCAAGUUUUAUGCAGGCACUUUUUUUUUCAUUCAUUUGACUGAGCGCCAGUAGAUCUAUUAAGAGGCCAGGCUCAGGCAGCAGUAAGGAAGACUCCCUGUCCUGGCCUUCAAGUUGUUCAUCCGUCGGUGGAUAUGGACAAGUGAGCAGUGUUGGAUGGUUGUAGAAGUGGAACAAGGUGACGUCAGUAACGUGACGGCAUGGGACGAUUACUUCAUGGAAGCCAGUGUCUGCAAUGUUAUCAUUCCCACUGAGAAGGACUGACCAGUUUCACCAGCACUGAGCUGGACCACUCCAGGGAAAAGAUCGCAGAAUGCUUGUGGAGCUGGCUGACACACGUCGUCCACUUACUCAUUCCAAAGAUUCUGCUCCUACACUAAGUAUGGGGCCACAUUUGGCAAAGAGGGGCACUUCUGUCCUACUGGCCAGCCCUAUUAUGCCCUUUGGUGACAUCAGUGUGCCAUACUCUUCUGAAUCUAGGUCUAGUGGUUGCUCUCUCUGGAAGCUAAGUGAAGCCCCAAAGGGCUCCCGGGACUUCCACGGUGUAGUGCCCUCACGACAUCACAGCUUUGUCACUGCCUUUCUUCUUCACUCCUCAUCUCAUUCACCGUGGCUUAUAAACUCCGGCACUAAAAGAAAAACACAACAAAAACUCCAGGGUCGCCACCCCCUCUAAGUGUUCCCGCUGCUCCUACUACACUCCACUGCCCUGCUCUCUCCAUUCCUUUCUCUCCUUGUUCUAGCUCCUUCUCUCCUCACUUCUCCCGGCCUGAGCCCGAAGCACGCUUGCACAUCAAGUCCCUACAGCACCUUUGAUUCUUCUCAGAGGUUUUCUCUGUUCCUAGAGGCGCAAGAAUUGCUUAUUUGCUACAGGAAACAUUUUCUCUUCUUUUUCUCCGUAUUUUACUUCCAGGUUCGAUGCCAUUUCUGAUUGCUUGAGCUGGUCUGACCCCU